rnacentral:lncRNA from 1 species
AUACUUUAUUUGUAAUUCAAAAAGAUCAAAAGAUCUCGGAUUGUCUGCACUUUCUUCUCUGGAAGGGUAAUAGUAAUGUACGAAAAUACCUUAACAAACUCAGAUAAAUAUGUUGUUCUUUCAGAAUCCAAGAAGUUUUAUUCAUAUAGAUUUUGAAACAAAGGGUUGUGUAUAAAAUCAAUAUUUAACCCAAAGGGAGUAAGGCUUUGACAAUACCAAUACUCUCUCAAAUUUAAGUUGAUAAUCUUCUUUUAAAAUUACAUUUUAUGUCAUCUACGUAGUUAAACAUUUGUAGUCCGUUCUACCUCAGGUAUUUUAGAAAAACUUUUACCCAAGUGUAUCUUCUAAUCUCUAUUCCAUGUGUUAAGUCCGUUUUAUCCCCCGGCCCUUGCUAUUUUUCCUGACCAGAAAGAACAACGUAAAAAAUUAUGUGAUAUCAUUUAAGAGAUUUAUAGUCUCUAAAAAAGUGGACAAGGAGUACUUACAAGAAAAGUUGGACUUUCUGUCAAGAGAACAUGAGAUUUCAGUUUGAGGGAAAAGUAAUCUCUUGUUGGUUCUCGUGUGAUAAAAAACCAUCAUUUUAAUGUACGUUUCUUGAAUGAAAUAUGACCAAAUAAAAGCUUUAGAUGCGUUUUACAGGGUUAUAACUUAAGUUCUGUAACAUAUUCAUAAUGAGAUAAAACCACAAUAUUAUAUUUCAUUAAUUUCAAAUUUCAUAUUUAUUAUUUGUAAAGUGUGACUAAUCAUAUAAAGGCUUUUACUCAAUUUUGCCACUUUUUGCAACAAUUAUCUUCUCGAUCUUCUUGAAACAGCUUUUACACAUACGCGAACAGUAUCUAGUGGAAUAGCAUUCAAUUUCUUCACAAAUGCAUCCUUCAAUAAGUUAACAUUUGGACAAUCCAUACGAUUGGUUUUUUUCUUAAAGUUAUAACGAACCAAAGUAAAUAAAUCCAAGGGAUUUAUAUCUAAUGUAGUGUCUUUUUCUAUUCAAGCGAAUUGCAAUCGUGGAAAAGGCUUCUACAAAGUUACUUAUAUUUCUUAAAAGGAUAUCUAGUAACAAAUGUCUAAGAAGUAUUCUACCUUUGGAUAUAAAUUACGUUGGAGACUAAUAAAUAGAGGAUGUUUAUUAAGUGCUUAAGAGCCUACCUUAUAUUUAGAUGUUUAUGUAGGUCUUUGAGAAUAAAGCGAGGAGUUUCCUGUAGUUGUGCGAUACACUGUAUAUUAUAAUACUUUGGAGGUAAUAUGGUGAUUACCCUAACAUGGACAUGGACUCAAGUAUUUAUAGAGUUUGGGUUUUUUUGCUGCCUCACUUAUUACAUUCUAGAUUAUUCCAGAUCAUAUUUAUCAUGUGAUACGCACACAUGAUAAUAUGGCCUCGAUUUUAGAUAUCAUUAAUCUAGAUGAUGAUGCAAAAACUCAUUGCUCAGCGAUAAACCGGGCCCCUUCAGAGUAGUUAUCAUACGUAUACAUACAAUAUAAUAUCGAUGAUCCUGAUUGCGACGAUUCUGAAUGACACUACAAAUGCUCCUCCUUUGAGCAAAAUACAACCAAUUUGCAAUCACAUUUUUCACUUCCUCCAAAAUCAUUUCUUCCAUAGUUCUCACCUUGAUCUUGCUCUAAUUAAAUACUCCUCAAUUCUAACGUUUUAUUUAUUGAUUAAUAUUAGAAUCCAUUAUCUAUUUCCAAGUACUUUUCGGCGCUUUGUUGUAACAUUGAAACACUCACAUACGACGCUUUGAUCCAUUGUGCCUUCUGUACAUCAAAACUACUUUUCCUUCAUUGAUUUAAGACACAAACAUGGCGUCCAACUUAUGUAACAUUAUGUCGCAUAGUCCCUUGGCUAAUUUAAAUUUUCUAUGAAUCAAUGCUGGCAAACAUUCUUUUUGUCCCAUUUUUAAAAUCCUUACAUGUGGACACAGACGAAUAUCUUCAGGAUGAUUACAAUCCAAUAACUCAUCGGUCUCAAUUUCUUUCUUUAUGCCUUUAAUAUCACCUAUAGCCAAAUAUUAACCAAUUGGUGAUCAAUAUGACAUUCGAAUCCCUUAUUCUACUGUCAUCAAGAGUUCCCUAUACUGAUAUAACUGAUAAUAUUUAUUAUAUCCUCUUCCCAUUCUGAAUUGACAACAAAUCCAAGAGUAAUUUUUCAGUCUUUCCAUUCUGCACACCUCUUAUCCAUUUGUCCACCUGUUCAAAAAUUAUUGUUAACUCCCUUUUGAUUGCUUCAAUCCUUUCAACUUCCAAUAGAUGAUUGUGAACAACAUUGUAUGGAUUUAUCCCAUUCUAUCUUAUGGACGAUGCUUAAUUUAUUUCCACAAACACAGACCUGAAACUUUUAUUUUCAUCCACACUAUUUAUAUUCUUAUUUGCCAAUAGAAAUACGGGUUAGAUAACAAUUUAACUUUGUUAUCCCAGGAUGUGCUAAUAAGGGAUGCACAUGUACAGUUAGGAUAAACCCACGCAUGAUCUUUUUGAAAGAACACAUAUUCUUAUAAUAAAAUUUGCUUUAUCUCAUAUAUAAUUGAUACUAAUAUAAUUUUUAUAUCUUAGGACAGUUUACUUUUUACCGUGUAUGAAUUACUUUAAUAUUUUCGUUUUAUUAUUAUUAUUGUUAACAAACACAUAAUAUGAUAAAUUCAUUUACCAUCAAUCUAUUUAAAGUUAUAGUAUUAUAAAUUUAUCUAUUGAAUCUUAUAAUUUUCUCCCUCUAUUUUUCUUUCUACGCUGAGAUAUGAUAGCAGCACUUUUAAUGGGCUUGCCAAAAGCUUCCAUUAAUUUGAAAUAAAUUUAAUUUGGCUCUUUCAAAUUUUCCAUUACAUUACUUGACGAUGGCCUUUUCUACUCAAAGCAUCACCAUUCUGAUUUUUUCUCCUCUGCUUAUACUUCAUUUUAAAUGUUUAUUCCAUCAGUUACUCUUUCAUUUGUGUAACAUACAAGAAGAGCCACUGAUUUCAGAAACUUUUUCUAUGGUUAUAAUAAAUUCUGAUUUCAAACUGAAAAUUUUUAAAUUCAACUUAUAACUUUUUUGCAUAAACAAAUAAUAUAUUUGUAACUGAUUAAGGGACUUUCACCACAUGCAUUCGGAUGUUAUCUACCAUCAUCCUUGACUUACGUUUGCACGGUUCCAAUGGUAUACUAUUCUUUUUCUUAUAAUAUAUGAUUUUAAAAAGUAAGUGAGGUCUAAGAAAGAUUACACAUUUACAUUUUCCUUUAAUUAUUUGAACACUUCUUUUAAUCCAUUUCCAUUUAUCAUCUAUGUGGAGAAGUUUGCAAUUGGUUAGUAUAAUCUUACAUAAUAUGCCCUACAAUUACUAUAAUAAAAGGUCUUGUCCAAGAAGGUUUCGAGACCCCAACAGGAACGGUUUUCAUUGUUGAACAGCCUCUAAUAAUCUAUAAGUCAACGGAACAUGUCAUCCCUUUAGCUAGUGUCCUAACCAAUUUGCCAAAAGGUGUGAUUGAAUCUAUUUUUAUCGCCUUUUCUCUGAGAUUAGUCUUCUCAGUCCUUAGAGCAUAAAUGUAGCAAAUCUACUUCGUAUAUGCAUGAACGUACACUCUAAGGUUCACUUAUUGACCAUAUAUUUUACAAAUUCAUAUAAUAUUCUUUCACUAGUUUAAAUUCAAUACCGCUCAAAUAAUCAUACUUUUCGGACGCUACCCUCAUACAUAUUUAUUUUCAAUUUCCUCCGUCUCACUAGCCAAUCUAUCAAGGAUUACUUAUUGUAGUGUCCUUUUCUAUUCAAGUGAAUUGCAAUCGUGGAAAAGGCUACUAAAAGUUACUUAUAUUUUUAAAAGGGUAUCUAGUAACAAAAUGUCGAAGAAGUAUUCCAUCUUUGGAUAUAAAUUACGUUGGAGAUGAUUUUUAACAUAUGUAUAUUAGGUGCGUAGACCUACCUUAUUUAUUGAUGUCGGUUCAAUAAAGUUACCAAAUAAAUGUGUACGAGUUGUUCUUCCCUAAAAUAGCGCGAUGCACUGUUUAUUGGUAUAACAACGUUUGGAGGUUAUCAGAAGAUUAACCUCGCAGGGCCACUGAUUAUAAUAUUUAUGGACGGUUUGGAUCUAAUGCGUAAUUUUAAGAACAUUCAAGAGUCUUUCAUCAUGUGCAUGGUUGCAAUUGGUUGAUGUUUUCAAUACCAUAACAAUAAUAUUAUCAUCAUCUUGCCUUCUUUUACUGUUUUUUUUUUUAGAACAACCUCUAAUGUAGCUAUUAAGUUGGCUAUUUUAGAUCCUUCACUUCCUCCCCAGGAAAAUCAUGACACAAUUAUCUUCUUAUCUAUGGUAAAAUACUUGACAAAAACUAUGUGUUGUACAUAAGAUCUUAUGGAGCAACUCAUUACUCCAGCCACCCUAUACAUACCUCCCUUUACCUCGAACUAUCAAUGCCCACUUCCAUUAAUUUAUUUAUGACUUUAAUUUUUUCUCCAAACAAAAAGAAAAUUUACUCCAAAAUAUUUAAGAGAUUUUACAAUUUCAGAAUUUGACUUUCCUUUUUUGUAUAAAUUAAUUAUAAAUUAUCUCUUGACAUGUGGCUUUUAUUCUUUAUGAAAUAUUUGUAUGUGGUAUGACAAUUUUUCAUUAUUUUUUUACUAAAGGUUUUUAAAAGGCUAAAAAAAUGCCUUAUGCACUUUAAUCCCAUAUAGAGUGCAAUAUCCAUGUAAAAAUAUGUUUGUUACAGGACUGAAGUUAUACCCUGUACAUAUAAAAUAGCUUAGUGUAGGGAAAAAAUUGUCGUUAUAUUUAUAAUUAUGUACAUAUAUAUUUUAAUAUGGAUUUUUAAACAAUUUACAUCAAGUAUAGGCAACAAUUUUUUUUUUCUAAUGGGGAUACACGCCGACAUAUUUUAUAGUGCACGAAAAGGAAGAAAGAGUAAGUACAACAACUAUUUUACCUCUUCUCAUUUUUAGAGGGAGUUUUACAUUAAAAAUUCAUCAACUCUCGUCAUAUUUUAUUACAGGCUUUUUGGUUUUAGCUUCGAUUGUCGUUAGAAAGUAUAAGAUGGAACGGAUGUAACACAUUAUGUAGAGGCUAGAAAAUUCAAGGUUAUAAGCAGAGGACUCAACAAAGUUCCAAAUGGCAAAACUGAAGAUGGUCAUCUCGGAUCCUGUUUAUACCAUAAAAAUAGUGAGGGACUAAGUCCAUCCUUAAAAGAAAAGGAUUUUCUUCAUCUUCUAGCUGCUUGUAGAAAAUCAAAUGACACGUCAUGAAAUUUAAGCUGCCCUCCUCCAAAACUUUUUUCAAAUUGUCAAGAUAUUUAUUUUAUGUUUCCUUUUUUUUGGACAUACCGGCAGAUCUUAUUUUCCACAAAUACAAUUAUACCUAUUUAACAGUUUAAACUGCCUUUUAAAUUCUUUAUAUACGACCUUUAAUUUAUUAUCGCUUCAUUUUUAGGGUUUAUUUGUUUUUAUUGAAGUAUAGUUAUAGGUUUAUUUUUACAUUCGUAUCAGUAGUUGAUGGAGUCUACAUACCAUGAAGGCUUUUGGGAUACAACCUCUCGACUUUUUCUUCUUGACUCCAGGGUGCUAUUGGCUGUACUUUGGACACUGAUCAGUGUCGAAAUUGCUGCGGCUGAUCUCGAUUAGACAACCAAAUAUCUUCUCUUCUUGUCUAAAGGUAAUAGGUGUAUGUUGUUGGCUGUAUAAUACCGGUGGAAUGUAUCUGACUAUACCUUGAAAUUAAUUAAGAUAGUAUUAUGCUCUAAUAUAGAGGAGGAUCUUACAACUCUGCGCAGAAGAUUUGUGGAGCUCAGAUACGAGAUCAAGAAUGCAGAAGGGAUCAGUGUCCAAAGUGCCGCCAAUAACACCCUGGAGUCGGGAAGAAAAAGUCGAGUAGACGCAUCUCUAAAGUCCGCCCCUUUAGAGCAUAUUACUACUUUAAAUAAUUUUUAAAGCGUGGCAAAAAACAUUGCACCGUUAUUACUCAGCCAACAGUAUGCACCUUUAGACGAGUAGAGAGGAUUUUUGGAUGCAUGUCUAACCGAGAUCAGACGCAGCAAUCUAGAAAAAUUCUUGGAAAUGAAAUACUCUACAAGUAUAGAAAUAUGUCAAAAAAAAAUGUCAAAGGUUUGGUUCAUGUCAUGCAAACAAGUAAUGUCCAGCUAAUAGCAAGAAGUGCCAUUAUGCUGACAAUAUAAGACAUUUCAAAUCUCAAUGUCAUAAAAUGAAGAGUAAUAGUAAUAUUCCUGCAAAGAAUCAACGUAUGAAAGUAAUGGAAGUAUACUACAAUCAUGAAUGAGAGUGAUGAAUUUGCAUACGUUGAUGCGAUUUCUGAUACAGGAGCAACUGAGUCACAGAUCCCCUUAAAUAUCAUAAGGGAAAUCGGUUUGAAUGUCGAUCAACAAAAGAAAGUGUGAAUAGUAGCUGCUGGAAAUGACAUAUUAAAAUGUGAAGGUAUGGUGAAUCUAUCUAUUAAGAUUCAGGACAGACAAGUCAAUGGUGUCCCUUAUGUAACUCCUCAUGUUAACGAAUUUCUUUCGUUGUACCUGUUGGUCACCAAAGGAAUUAUACACAAAGGCUUUCCGUAUUUACAUUAUGAGGAAGCUAGAGCUAGACUUACUAAAUUUGAACUAUCACAUGAGAAUAGAACAUCAGAAUGGGAGGAAUGCAAAGGAAAUCUUGUUAGAAAAUACUAAACUGUAUUUAAUGUCGAAGAAUUCAGUCCAAUAAAAGGAAAAGAGGAUUAACUUCAAAUUAAACAAAGUUAUGGGGAGAGCUAAGAAGUAGAAGACGUCAGCAUUGAAUCCGUUUACAAAGCUGCAAGAGAGGACAAGAGUUAUCAAUUAGACUGCAAGAUGAUAAAAGAGUAAAAUCUUAUCAAGAAAAUUCCUCAAGAUCAUUAUGAGCAUCUGUAUGAAAGAUUUUGGGUUCAUUUAUCCAUGGAGGAGAAUGAUAAGGAAUCUAUCAAAUUAUUCAAUGCAAAUUGUUUGGUUAUACCUACGAAUUUAAGAUCUAAAAUUAAACAAAAUGUCGACAGCAGUUAUCAAAGAAUGACUAGAACGGUGGAAAGGAUCUGAUCUCUUUUUUACUGGCCAGGAUUCCAAAAUGAGAUCAAGCAGGUAGUCAUAUGAACAAUGUCAAAAGUAUAGUGCAAGUCAAACCCGAGAACCAAUAAUAAAAACAGAUGAGUUCAUUGUCCAUACGAAUCGACUUCAGCAGGUCUCUUUGAAUAUGGUAACAAUUUCUUCCAUGUACACGUUGAUAGAUACAUGGGAUAGCCAUCUCUGACACAUUACAGAAGAUCCCCAUGUUCAGAAGAUAUUGUAAAUUCUCUUAAAAGUAAUAUGUCAAUUUUUGAUUUACCUAAAAUAAUAAGGACGGACGGCGGACUACAGUAUAAGUCCAUGGUGUAUAAGGAAUUUUGUAGAAGUCAUAAUAUUAUUCAUGAGACAUUGAGUGCUCAUUAUUCCCAGAGUAAUGGACACGCAGACGCUGCAGUUAAAUCUAUGAAAAGACUCGUAAAAAAAUAUUAGAAAAUGGAAAGUUGGAGGCACAGAAUUUCCAUAGUGCUUUAUUGGAGUGGAGAAAUACUCCAGGGCAAGAUGGACUCUCAAGGCAGAGUGGUUGUUCGGAAGGAAAAUGAGAACAUUAACUCCUGCCCAUAAAUCACAAUACGAUCGUAUUGGGGAUUAUAAAUUUAAGAAAUCGGCAAAGGCAAGACAAGUGUUUAACGAUAAACCUAAAGCCAACAGAGAUGAUAGAUCAAUACUCCUUCCUCAAUUAGAAAUGAGUGAAUAUGUUGCAUUUCAAAAUCCAAUCUCAAGAGAAUUGAAUACUACUGGCAUCAUCGAAUCAGUGAGGAAGAAUUGUGAAUGCUACAUCGUCCAGGAAACGAAUGAAGGAACAUACUUGAGAAGCCUAAGAUUCUUAAAGAAACGUAUUCAAAAUCUGGAAACGAAAUUAGAUGAAGUGUCGGAUUGUGAAGCUCAUGAAUUGAGGAGAGGUCAGCGCAAAGCUCAGACACCUCAUCGUUUUAGGACUUAAAGGCUUUAUAGGGAAGUUUUUGUAUUUCAUAGAAGUUACAUCACAAAUGUUUGAGUACUUAAUGUUUGCUUAGUGAGAGAUUUAUUUUAAUAUAAUCAGUGUUACUUCGAGAGUAUUACUCGCAUGUUGUACCAGUCUUAUUUGUUUAACAGUAUAGAAUAGUAUAGAGAGCGGGAGUUAUCCCAUAAACCAUAAAACUUCUUUAGAGCUCAAUAAAAAAAAAUCCCUUCUUUCCCCCUCCCUCAAUCCCUUUCUGAGUUCAUCUUCUUUUUCUUGGAUUAUGCCAUCUCAUUUUCAUUUUGACAAAAAUUCCGUCUUCCCAAGAUUAAUUGAAAGGCUCGACUUCCUUCAGAAACUUGGAAAUACUUCAAAUAAAGAGUUUAUAGAUUUCAGUAUCUAAUUUUCGGACCUUGCAAGAAACAAAGUAACAUCAUUUGUAAACUGGAAACAUUUUUAUGACAUAUUUGUCACUUUUAGACUUUCGAUUCUCUAGUCUCCCAUAAGCAUCUUGCAUAUACUGUUAAUUAAUAGAAUAAAGAGGGAUGUUGAAUGUAGAUCACUUUGCUAAGCUCCCCUGACAAUCAAAAACAUUUUUGGGGGUAUUCCCUUCUGGUAAAUCAAUAUUUGAUAAAGCACUUCGUCGAAUAGCUGACGCAAUUUUUAUGAAACUAUUAGGAAAGCUAUAACUGAACAGUUGCUCUAUUUUGAGAAAAUAUGGCAGAGAAAUCGACCAGAAGGGCUAUCUAUUUUUAUACAGUAUUACAACUACCUUCGGGUUAAGUAUACCCUUAUGAGUCUAAUAGGAUGUGUUAAGUUUAGAAAUUGGUGGAUAACUUUUAACAUAAUCCCAACUCCCAUUUUUUUAAGAAUCAGUACUAUAGAUCCAGAGCUAAUAAAAUAUCGAUGCAAUAUUAUAAUUUAAAAAAUAUCACUAAAAAUUUGCUCUAGGAUUGGUUCCAGUUUUUGUCAAAAAUAUUCGAAGGGUAUUACUGACAUGCCUGGAAACUUAAAAUUCUUGUUGUUGUCUGAAUGAACUUUAAAAUUUCAUGUCUAGUAAUGGGUGAGUAUAAUUUUUCAAAUACAUUUCCAUUUCUAAAGUUGAUACAGUACUUUUUUUUCCUUUUUUAGGAACCCUGUUAAAGGACAAUAAUGCUACCUACCUUCCUGUAUCUUGAGUUUAGGGAAAAACUACAUAAUUUUUUUUAUAAGCAGUUGUGACAUCCAUAUAGUUUUUUAUAUAAAUUACAAUUGGAUCUAAGAUCAGAAAAAUUCUAUGUUUAAAUACUUUUUUUUUAUUUAUAUAUAAUUGGCAUCAUUAUUUGACACCUUAUAUCCACGUGCAUCUCUAUCUGAUUUUUGGUGAUUUUGAGAUCUUCUCCAAUGAAGCUUUCUUAUUAUUUAUUCCCUAUAUUAGAGAAUCUACUUUUUGAGGCCAAUGAAUACUGUAGAUUGCACAAAAUGUUGUUCCUCUUUUAAGGAAGAAGAUAUGUACCACAAAAUAAUUCCUUCCAGAUCUGAAACCACAAUCUUGAGAUCUUUUGAGUACAAUCCGUGCGCGUGAAAACUCCCCCAGGAGAAAACUGUCCUUGGAAGAUUGUCCAGGAGAAAAUUGCUAGUUAAAAAUUAUCGCCAAAGCAUCAAAUACACAAAAGGAACCCUUCUAAUAUCAAAUGCCCUCGGAUUGCACGGGGUACUUCAGGUUACAUCUGGAUCCUUAAAAACCACCACCAAAGCAUCACAUAUAUCCAAGGAACCCCUUUAAUAUCAAUAAAUAGUUUGAAGCCCUCGGGUUGGGCGUGGAAAUCUUGGUAGUGUCAAAAACCAAGUGAUAUGAACCGAAUCAACAAGGUGCAUGUCUCACAUUCGCUAAUUUAAAAAAAAAAUCUUAUAGGCUAUGUGAGUUCAAUUUAUACUUCUGUAGUAUUACUUCAGCACACCUAUAUUGUUGACAUUUUUCUUAACCCUUCCUCAUGACAUAUGCAAUAUAAUCAUUAUGUAAAUUUUCAAAAGAUUAAAAACGUGAUGCCCUUUUGUGGAACGAGGAAGAUAUUUUAUAUUUUGUACUUUCCUUAAGAUGGAUCUGGCAUUACCAAAGUACCUGUCCUUUUACAACCUCCGUGACUAUAAUGGUGUUCCCACAAAAAUCUGGGAACUUGUGUCUAGUUCGUAAUAAUCAAUUUAUAAACAUAAUUGACUGUAACAUACACAUAUUCAUAAAUACUAUCUUUAAUGUAAAUUUCAGAGCAAUCUGAGCACUGAAUUUUUUCUUUGUUUUAUGAUCUCCACAUUUAUCCUUAUACUAU